GUCUGAUGUGAAAGCCCACGGCUCAACCGUGGAGGGUCAUUGGAAACUGGGAGACUUGAGUGCAGAAGAGGAAAGUGGAAUUCCAUGUGUAGCGGUGAAAUGCGUAGAGAUAUGGAGGAACACCAGUGGCGAAGGCGACUUUCUGGUCUGUAACUGACACUGAGGCGCGAAAGCGUGGGGAGCAAACAGGAUUAGAUACCCG
rnacentral:rRNA from 1 species